rnacentral:tRNA from 1 species
GGCAAGGUGGCCGAGUUGGUCUAUGGCGCAGGAUUAAGGUUCCUGUGGAGCAAUCCGCGUGGGUUCGAAUCCCACCCUUGUCA